GGUUAACGGGGGAUUAGGGUUCGAUUCCGGAGAGGGAGCCUGAGAAACGGCUACCACAUCUAAGGAAGGCAGCAGGCGCGCAAAUUACCCAAUUCUAACAGUUUGAGAGAGGUAGUAACAAGAAAUAACAAUACAAGGCAAUUAAAAUGCUUUGUAAUUGGAAUGAUAGAAAUUUAAACCCUUUUUAAAGUAUCAAUUGGAGGGCAAGUCUGGUGCCAGCAGCCGCGGUAAUUCCAGCUCCAAUAGCGUAUAUUAAAAUUGUUGCAGUUAAAAAGCUCGUAGUUGAAGUUCUGCUAAAAGUAACCGGUCUGCUUUUAAUAAAAGUGGUAUCUUGGUGUGUAUUUAGCAAUGAUGUCCUUUGAAGUGUUUUUUACUUUAUUGUAAUAAAGCAUAUUCAGGACUUUUACUUUGAGAAAAUUAGAGUGUUUCUAGCAGGCCGACGCUUUGAAUACUGCAGCAUGGAAUAAUA
rnacentral:rRNA from 1 species